rnacentral:rRNA from 1 species
UACGUAGGGGGCUAGCGUUGUCCGGAAUUAUUGGGCGUAAAGAGCUCGUAGGCGGUGUGUCGCGUCGGCCGUGAAAACCUGCAGCUUAACUGUGGGCUUGCGGUCGAUACGGGCAUCACUGGAGUUCGGCAGGGGAGACUGGAAUUCCUGGUGUAGCGGUGAAAUGCGCAGAUAUCAGGAGGAACACCGGUGGCGAAGGCGGCUUUCUGGACGACAACUGACGCUGAGACGCGAAAGCGUGGGGAGCAAACAGG